rnacentral:rRNA from 1 species
CGCACGGGUGAGUACACGUGGGAACCUGCCUUUCGGUUCGGGAUAACGUCUGGAAACGGACGCUAACACCG